AUAUUUUUUCGAUUAAUAAUAAAUGGCUUUUAAAUCUGUUCUUAUCAGCUUAAUAUCUGAUACGGCUUCCAUCGGAGGCCAUGAUAUUAAACUGAUUUUUGGAAGGCGGCGGAGUGCUCGGAGCUUGCUCCACCUCUGCCACGGGUUGACCCGGUAUUGCAGUACCUCCGGGAAUGGCCCACUCCCC